UCUACGGUGUGCUGCAGUGAGGAAUAUUGGUCAAUGGGCGGGAGCCUGAACCAGCCAAGUCGCGUGAGGGAAGAAGGUACUGAGUAUUGUAAACCUCUUUUGCCAGGGGACAAAGGCGGCCACGGGUGGCCGUAAGAGGGUACCUGGAGAAAAAGCAUCGGCUAACUCCGUGCCAGCAGCCGCGGUAAGACGGAGGAUGCGAGCGUUAUCCGGUUUUAUGGGGUUUAAAGGGUGCGCAGGCGGCGUGUCAAGUCAGCGGGAAAAUGUCGGGGCUCAACCCCGGCCGGCCGGUGAAACUGGCGUGCUCGAGUUGGAGAGAAGUAGGCGGAAUUCGUGGUGUAGCGGUGAAAUGCAUAGAUAUCACGAAGAACCCCGAUUGCGAAGGCAGCAUACCGGCUCCACACUGACGCUGAGGCACGAAAGCGUGGGGAGCAAAUAGGAUUAGAUACCCCUGUAGUC
rnacentral:rRNA from 1 species